UAUGCUGGCAACUUUCAAGAACUGAAAGUAGCUUCUUUCUCUUAGGUCGUUGGCUACACUCACCAUUAGAAAAAUAGGCACUUCUUUUGCCUUAGUUAAACUUGCACCAGUGGCACACAAUGAGGAGAACUUCUUUGUCCAGCCUGGGAAUCGAUGUGAGCAUCAAACUUCAAGUCCAUGAUAAUUCCUAGGAGUUCUUACCAAUUGAACAUAUCUUGAUUUUCUGCUAUUGGGUCAAAAUUUCAACACAACUAUACUGUGAAAAUGAAGUCCCUUUAUCCCGUGAAAUCUUUCAUCACUUGCAAUUCCUAAUCCGAUGUAUGAUGAAUUACUGAAACUUUCUUCAUGAGAUAAACAGACUGAGUUUGCGGCCAACGCCAUACUUCUUCCUUAAACUUCCAAUUGCAAUCUAAAGGAGGAGAUGGUGGUUUUCAUGACAGGUAAAGUAGUUGAUGCACAGACAAGAAGCAAACAAAGCUAGAGAGCGAAAAGAGCGCCGGGUUUUGAAGGGACUGAACUUGGAUAACGAUCAUUGAACCCAAAAAAAAACGAAAAAAG
rnacentral:misc_RNA from 1 species